rnacentral:rRNA from 1 species
CAUAGCGACUAUCGUGGCAUAUCAAUAAGCGGAGGAAAAGAAACCUAACAAGGAUUCCCUUAGUAACGGCGAGUGAAGCAGGAAGAGCUCAAAUCUGAAAUCUUCAAGGGUUCUACCUUUACGAAUUGUAGUUUAAAGAAGUGUUUUCUGUUAGUGGAGUGGCUAAAAGUUCUCUGGAAUAGGACAUCAUAGAGGGUGAGAAUCCCGUAUUUGGUCAUUCCUUUCUAGCUGUGUGAUACACUUUCAAAGAGUCGGAUUGUUUGGGAAUGCAGUCCAAAAUGGGUGGUAAAUUUCAUCUAAAGCUAAAUAUUGGCGAGAGACCGAUAGCGAACAAGUACCGUGAGGGAAAGAUGAAAAGAACUUUGAAAAGAGAGUUAAACAGUACGUGAAAUUGUCAAAAGGGAAGCGUUUGACACCAGUGUUGUUUAGUUGAAAAUCAAUUCAAUAAGUUUUUGAUUUUAAGUAGUAUUGACUUCAUCAGCUUGCUGCUUUCUUUUCAGGAAUUAUUGAAUGCACUUUUCAGUUAACAAGUCAACAUCAAUUUCUUUUGUUGUAAAAGGGUAAGAGGAAGGUGGCUUACGCUUCGGCGUAAGUGUUUAUAGCCUUUUACCUCUGCAAUCGGAGAGAUUGAGGACAGCAGCGUAGACUCUUCGGGGUUAGAUACACUUGUGCUAAGCUAUAGCCUUGUAUAGACAACUUGUUGACUAUGCUCAGUCAUGUAGCUUACUCGCUUGUGCUAUUUUACCUACGCUUAGGAUGUUGACGCGCGUGUGUGCGUG